GGAACACUGUCCAGACUCACUGUCUCCUGAUGCUGAGGACACAGGACAGGUUACAUACAGUAUUAUACAGAUAUAUGAUGUGUAACACUGUCCAGACUCACUGUCUCCUGAUGCUGAGGACACAGGACAGGUUACAUACAGUAUUAUACAGAUAUAUGAUGUGGAACACUGUCCAGACUCACUGUCUCCUGAUGCUGAGGACACAGGACAGGUUACAUACAGUAUUAUACAGAUAUAUGAUGUGGAACACUGUCCAGACUCACUGUCUCCUGAUGCUGAGGACACAGGACAGGUUACAUACAGUAUUAUACAGAUAUAUGAUGUGGAACACUGUCCAGACUCACUGUCUCCUGAUGCUGAGGACACAGGACAGGUUACAUACAGUAUUAUACAGAUAUAUGAUGUGGAACACUGUCCAGACUCACUGUCUCCUGAUGCUGAGGACACAGGACAGGUUACAUACAGUAUUAUACAGAUAUAUGAUGUGUAACACUGUCCAGACUCACUGUCUCCUGAUGCUGAGGACACAGGACAGGUUACAUACAGUAUUAUACAGAUAUAUGAUGUGGAACACUGUCCAGACUCACUGUCUCCUGAUGCUGAGGACACAGGACAGGUUACAUACAGUAUUAUACAGAUAUAUGAUGUGGAACACUGUCCAGACUCACUGUCUCCUGAU